GGCGAGAUGGCCGAGCGGUCUAAGGCGCUGGUUUAAGGCACCAGUCUCUUCGGAGGUUGGGUUCGAGCCCACCCUCGUGA
rfam:Ascaris suum AG00809, whole genome shotgun sequence.